UUUAGGUUAUGUGCAGUAAAUGGAUCAAACCCUAAAAUUCAUCCUUGUCCAACAGAGGCCUAACACCCAAACCAGCUCUAGGCAUUUGUCAAAAAAGAGAAGAAACACGCAUGCCUCCAUGCCGCACCUCUCGGCCGAGUGCCACGCCACGCCGCAUGCCUCCAGGUGAGUGCCGCCGUGAGGUUCUCGGAGAGGCAGAGGAGCGCCUGCAGGUCAGCAUCUGCUGCGUCGGCUGUGGUGACCAUGGCGACGCCCUUGACAUAGCUGCUGUUGGAGUCGGAGAGCGUGACGGCGGUGAGCUCGCUAUCCAUUGACUGGGCACGACGCGCGGCAGGCAUGCCGGAGACGGUGGUGAAGGCGCCGCGAUGAGCUAGCAAGCAAGGAAGAAGGGGUCGUGAGAUUUGCGUCGUGGGAGAGAGAGGACGCAUAUUUGCGUUCUGGCUCCUCUCCUACGCAAAAUGCGUGUUUCCUUUGCCUAUCCGGUUGGAGCCCGAUUUUGCGACUCAAAACACUAUAGACUACCUAUUAUGCAUUUGGGUCACGCUUUGUCUUCUUUGUUGGAGAUAGCCUAAGGGCUGGUUUGUUGCCUUGCACUUGCCCUGAUGCUGGCUAUAUGGGAAGAACAAGGUUACUUUUGUGUCCUGGGUGCUCUGCAUCUUAUGUUGCAGUUGUAGCCUACAUAAUUUCUGCCUUCCUGAGAGAGAGCCAAACCUUCAUUCCAAGGGGAAAAACCUAAGAAACUCCAUUCGGACUUUCAUUGAUGAGGACAUCACCAUGCUAGACAUGUCUACACUAUCGUCUUUUCCAAGUUGCAACUCAUCUCCAACUCAGCUGUCACGUCACCCUCGAAUUCAGCAGACACGUCGUUAAUGUUUCGAUCAUAACUUCUUCAUACGACAUCGAAAUAGGGAGAUCUUGGACUCAUUGGAAAGGGGACGACGAUGUCAUCGUUUUGGAUCUUGUCCCAGCUCCAGAUGACACGUGGAUUAAUCUGUGUGACUACGAUAAGUUGAUGCGUCAUCUAUUUUAAGCCAACUUGGCUAUGUAAUGAGUCAGACCUUAAGCCCAAGUUGUGGGCACCAUCCCUGGUCGCCUUCCAAUCCUAGGACGCCUCUCUUUUAUAUUCCACGCAGCCGCAAGCUGUCGAGACUUGGGUUUUGUUUAGAGUUUAGUUUUCCAUCGAGAAACUGAAUCGUUCAUUGUAACUGUGGUGACAAAUCCUUUUACAAUGAUCCAGUGCUCCCGUUCUUAAUCUCCUCCACUGCGUCGAUUAGUCCUUUGAAACCGAGUUCUUGAACCCUCUAUUGAUAUUCGUGUCAUUCAUAUUUGCAAUUUCAGAUUGCAUGUUUAAACCUUCUUGCUUGUGUUCUUCGAUUCGCUUGCAGGAAAAGCCUUCUUGGCGAGGUCAAUCAAGUUGUGCUUGGUUGAUAACCAACGGAUCAGUGGUGUAACGGUUGCAGGGUUCGAAUCGUGUCUGGUUUGAAGCCGGAUCGCCAACGUCGAGAUCUCCACAAAUCAAACUUACCAGUUACCUCUCAGAAGAUCGGGCAUGUACUCAUCAUUCGUUCACCUCACUCCUCCCUCCUACCUCUCUUCCUUAGCUUACUUAACCUAUCGUAAGAACUUCAAAGCAUUCAAUCGAG
rnacentral:lncRNA from 1 species